rnacentral:rRNA from 1 species
AACGGAGAGGGCAAGCGUUAUUCACCUUGACUGGGCGUAAAGAGUAUGUAGGUGGUUUUUUUUUUUCUUUAUAAGUAAUCCGAGCCUAACUCUGAAGUUAUUUUUUAUAAAUUAAAACUUGAGGUUGUUGGAAGUAAGUUACAUUUUUAAAGUAGAGGUGAAAUUCACGAAUAUUAAAGAGAUAUCCGUUUGGCGAAAGCUACUUACUAAAAUUAUCCUGACACUGAGAUACGAAAGCAUGGGGAUCAAACAGG